GCUGCCAUGCCAUGCUUUCCGCGGCCAGCCUCGCUCAGGGUCCGUGGGCGGCACGAAGACGGGACUGCCGGAGGCUGUCGGCUGACUGGACUCCCAGUGCUGAAGCGGAGGCCAUGAAUACUCCCAGCAUUCAGCUCUUAACUGAAGCAUGUGUGCUGUCUUGGUAGCAGAAGUUAUGACUAUCAAUCUUCUAGGCCUUCAGCCCCAUCCACUGGAUUCAAAAGAAGCUUCAGCCAUGGCAACUAAGCCCUUAUACAUCCUCCAGACUUUAAUAGGAAUGAUGAGGGGGCCUUCGUUCUUGCUGUGAACCUGACAUUCCCAGGCAUCCUCCAGUCCACCUGUGGCACUCAGGAGGGAGCACACACAUUUGGUGAACCCAGCCUGGUGUUACUUAAAGUCUACUAUCACCAAGACCCCGCUGCUCUUUCUCCUCUUCCAUGUAAUUCUCACAAGUCUGGGCUUCUGAGGUAGGCUAUGGAGUGACUGCUGCCCUUGGAUUUCUACUAUUGUUGGUUUUUUUAUGUUCUUCUUCUUUUUUUCCCCCCCAGAGGGAGAGUUUUUGAAAAAUUGGAAUUUGGGUGGCUGGCGUUUUUAUCCUAAGGAAAAACUCCAGAAGUUGUCUUCUGAUUUUUUGUUCCGUUUUGGUUUGUUUUCUGAAAGAGGUAGAAAACAAGACCAUCAGCUGAAUGAGGG